rnacentral:rRNA from 1 species
GACGAACGCUGGCGGCGUGCUUAACACAUGCAAGUCGAGCGGUAAGGCCCUUCGGGGUACACGAGCGGCGAACGGGUGAGUAACACGUGAGUAAUCUGCCCAUCACUUCGGGAUAACUCCGGGAAACCGGAGCUAAUACCGAAUAUGACCACUUCAGGCAUCUGAUGGUGGUGGAAAGUUCCGGCGGUGAUGGAUGAGCUCGCGGCCUAUCAGCUUGUUGGUGGGGUAGGGGCCUACCAAGGCUUCGACGGGUAGCCGGCCUGAGAGGGUGACCGGCCACACUGGGACUGAGACACGGCCCAGACUCCUACGGGAGGCAGCAGUGGGGAAUAUUGGACAAUGGGCGCAAGCCUGAUCCAGCAGCGCCGCGUGUGGGAUGACGGCCUUCGGGUUGUAAACCUCUUUCAGCAGGGACGAAGCGCAAGUGACGGUACCUGCAGAAGAAGCACCGGCCAACUACGUG